rnacentral:lncRNA from 1 species
UCAGCUGUAAUGAUGUUGUUGAGCGUGACCAAGCAAACCAGAUCCCAGAUGGAGACUUUGAUAUUGGCGAGAAGGAGGCACUACUUAAAGAAAUUGAAGAUCUGACAAGCAAAUUGCAGAAACCUGUAACCAUGUCCACCAACGAGCUGAGAUCAUCUUUGUUGGCCCGUUCGUUUCAACUACGCAACAAGAAUGCUGAAAAAGAUAUCGAGGAAGAACGACUUAAGUGCACAGAAAUGGAGAGCGAGUGGAUAUCAUUGACAGACGAACUCAGAGUUGAGAUUGAAACACAACGCUCACGCGCAGAUAAAGCUGAAGGACAGCUUAAACAAGAGAAACUAUCUACUGAGGAGUUAGAGGAUGCACUUCGACGAGCUGUUCUUGGUCAUGCCAGGUUUGUUGAGCACUACACAGAGCUACAAGAGAAGUACAACGACUUAGGCUCAAGGUAUAAAGCAACGGGGGAGUGGAUAACAGAGUUGAAGAAGGCAGUAGCAAAGGCUGGGAAAAAAGGUUGCGGUUCCCGUUUCGCUAAAUCACUUGCUACUGAGCUCUCUGCACUCCGAGUAGAAAAAGAGAGAGAAAGAGAUUUUUUGAAGAAGGAGAACGUGAGCCUUAAGAUUCAACUGAGGGAUACCGCUGAAGCUGUUCAUACUGCUGGAGAAGUUCUUGUUAGACUCAGAGAAGCCGAACAAUCAGCAUCAGCUGCUGAGGUAAAGAAACAAGAUUUUCAUGUUUGAAUGGAGGAACCAUUUUUGUGGUAGUGUGACACUGUUUUUGGUUGCAGGAAAAGUUUAAUGAGGUGGAAGAAGAAAACGAGAAGCUAAAGAAGAAAAUGGAAAAGCUGAAGAGGAGACACAAGUUAGAAAUGGCAACACUCAAACAGAGUCUAAAGCAAAACACAUUGCCAGAAUCUGCAUUACAGCCACUGCAUCAGAGGAACUUGGAGAUUGAAGAAGAAGGUAUGUAGAAGAAACAUACCAAGGUGCAUAACUUGAAGACCUUUCUCGGAUCUGAUUGGUAUACACAUGAACUUACUGUUUAUUUUUCCACUUGCUGCAAAUAAAAAAAACAAUGUCUUAUUCCACAAGGCAUUUUGAUUAUUAGUAUUUUGGUUUCCCAUUGGAGUUUAUUUAUUAUUGGCUGCUUUUGAUUUGAAUAUUUUGUUUGUGGCGUGCAAACUGGUGUUCUUUUUAUAACUUUAAAUUGGUAAUUUAUUUUCUCCAUUUUAAAUUUGUUAUCUUUUCCCUACGUUUCAUACAAGACAUAUUUGUUCAUCUUGAUACAAAAGAAAUAUAAACUGAUGUUUCUUUUUCUACUUGUUUCCCAAGAAACUGUCUGUAGCUUUCACGUUUUUUUUGCUUGUGGAAACUGAAUUCAAAAGUUGGCAAAAGAUAUUGGAUAAUAGUUAUUCAAGAGCUUGACAAGUCUAACUAUAACUGUAUCGUUAUUCGAGGUUUAGCUUCUCCAUUGAUGCACCAGACUGGUGGACAUAUAGCGAAGGUAAUCCUAUAAGUUCACUAAGAAGUUGAUGUAUUUACAAGACGAACUCACGAAGUUGAUGUAUUUAAUUACAAGACGAAGUUGAUGUGUUUCAAAACAUGCUUUUUGCUUUUGCAAAGAUUUAGAUUCGAAUUAAACAUGUUGGAAGAAAAAUGGAAUCAGAUAAUCAUAAGAGCUUUAAGACCUUCCAAAGUUCUGAAGUUUUCUCUAAUUGUUUUUACAAAAAGUUUUUUUUUUUCUGAUCUCGCGUGGGUUCGAUCUGUCAGCUGUAUUAUUUAUCAUAGAUGCACCUAUUCAUCAAGUCACUGAUAGAGUUUGAUCGUCAGUUCUCUCUCCAAACUCGAUCACGAACACAACGAAAGAUGAUUUUAUUGAUAUGAUAAAAAGAUGUUUACACUUUGUAUUGUGAAUCAACCGAGACUCGCUGGCUUAACCCAGACGAGAUCACCUCAAGACUAUCGUCUCUAAUCCAAAAUAUAAAGCUACUGACAAAUGAGCUCGCAGGCUCUUAUUUAAAGCUACUCAACGAACAUAACGGCAAACCUUCUCUGUCCAUCCGAGUCUUCCAAUCCUUUCCCGUCUCAAGACCCUCUAGACGCCUCAGAGUCUUCCUUCGUAUUCAAUUCUUCUUCAUUUUCCCGCGUCCCUCUCUCUCCCCCUCUGUUCUUCCUCUGUCUCACGUAACGAUAAUGAAGCUUAUCAGUCACAUGGUAUAUAUGUGUGGGAACAUUGAAGGAGUGUUCAUGGUGAUGUUGUAAGGAAACCUGAAUAGUGCUUUGCACUAGCCCAAAACUGUAAUACCCCAAGAACCGGAAAGAUAGAAAACCCUCUAAAUAUGAAUAACUCUCAAAGAAAUUAGAAAACUUAGACUAAGACACUUUUUUUUCUUCUUUACAACUUUUUUUUUUGGUUUUAUUUAUUCAACUUCUCGUGCAUUCUACAAAUAGGGGAGACCGGGAGAGGACAUAUUAUUAUGAGAACUAUGCAAAUUGUUAUCUUCAUUUCUCAUACUUUUUAUUAUCUUUUAUGAUAGACUACUAUGAAAGAUUAUCAAAACUCUGAUGCUCUAACUCAGUUUUUAUCACAAGUCAAAACAUUCAGUUAAUGAGAUGUGGACUAGUAUUUCUGUCUUAAUAAUUUCUGGAUGCUAUGUUUUGGAAAAAGAAAAAGUGUUUUCAUAUUUACGUUAAUUAAGUAGCACAUGCAAACGUAAACAUUUGUUAAAUUUUCAUAUCUCUAUAAUAUUAUUUGAAAAGUCACUUUCCUAGGUGUCGCACACACGUUAACUCUUACGGUGGUUGAUUACUAUGAUACCCUUAAUGAAAUAAAAAAGUACAUUUAAAUAUUAUUAUUUACUUUUUUAAAAUUUUCAAAUAACAGUAUAAAUAAAAAGAAAACAUUUAUAAAGUUUGAAAAAUAAUUUUAAAACGAAAAGUAUAUGUAUGUAUAAUAUGAUUUCAUAAAAAAAAAAGAAAAAGUUUACAAAAUAGUAAUAUUCCAUUUAAAAAAUAGAUUUAAGUAACAAAAAAUAUACUUUUGAAGUAAUAAAAUACUUUUUUUUAUCUACAUCUUCUUAGAUGAAAAAAUAUAUUUGUAUAUAAUGUGAUUUAGUGUUUCAAAAAAAGAAUAUAUAAUGUGAUUUCAUAAAAAAAAAGUUCACACAAAUGAUUUUGAUAUUAGAAAAAGAAAUAUUUUUCUUUUAAAACAUAAUUUUCCGCCAAUCCUUAAUCUUGCAAGAACCAAUCCAGUCAGAGUCUCCUAAAAUCAGAAACUCUCUAAGGAAGAGCAUAGCUCUUUCUUCCUCAUGUCUCAGGAACCAGAAUAGCCUGGCGCAGAGCAUAAAGUCCUCGUGUCUUGCAGAGAGCCAACAUAUCAGGGCAUCUUUACGUGGAAGCAAGAUAUUCACAGGCUCCACGGAAUCUCUGGCUGCAAGUCUGCGGAGAGGCUUGGAUAUUAUUGAAAAUCCGCUGAGCCCUGCAUCAAACGGAUGCUCAGUUUCUUUGUCUUCUGAUAACUUGACCAUGCAACCUUCCACGGAGACACUGCAAGAUGAUCAAGUACCUCUUUCACCACUCUGUCCUUCCUGCAGACAGAAAUCUGAGAACAAUUCUACUGUUCUUAGCAGCUCUAAAUUGUCAAACGUAGUUGAAGGAGUAAGUAUAUUAUGUGAAAAUGUCAAAUAAAGUUAUUAAAAUGUAUCACCAUGAGUAUCUUAGGUUCUUUCCACAUAAAAUGAGAGCUAUCCUGAAGCUAACAUUGUUUGAUUACUUUCGAAUCAGGAUGGACAUCAUCAAAGGCUUACUGAGAAGCAGCAAGAGCUUGAAAUUUUGUGCACAGAGCAAGCAGCCAAGAUUGAGAAGCUAACGCGCCUGGUAAACCAAAUUAAUGUGUCUUUAUAAGUCUAUUGAAAAUUUGAUCAACACAUAUGGUUAAGCAAGUCUAGUUACUGUUAUAUCUUCUUCAGGUAGAGCAACACAAACAUCAAACUGUGAAUGAAACAGAAAAACUUGCUGGAGCAAGUAACGGAGAACAGUUUUCUUCAGCAAACGAAAAUCAGGUUUGUUGUUGUUAUCUUUACUAUGUGAAAACAUUUGAGCGAUUGUAAACAUAUAUCCUAUUGUCAUGGUUCUGCAGCUUCUCAGCUGUAAUGAUGUUGUUGAGCGUGACCAAGCAAACCAGAUCCCAGAUGGAGACUUUGAUAUUGGCGAGAAGGAGGCACUACUUAAAGAAAUUGAAGAUCUGACAAGCAAAUUGCAGAAACCUGUAACCAUGUCCACCAACGAGCUGAGAUCAUCUUUGUUGGCCCGUUCGUUUCAACUACGCAACAAGAAUGCUGAAAAAGAUAUCGAGGAAGAACGACUUAAGUGCACAGAAAUGGAG